UGGAUGCUAGCUGUUGGUCGUAUCGACCCGAUCAGUAGCGAAGCUAACGCGUUAAGCAUCCCGCCUGUGGAGUACGAGCGCAAGCUUAAAACAUAAAGGAAUUGACGGGGACCCGCACAAGCGGUGGAGUGUGUUGUUUAAUUCGAUGGUAAACGAAGAACCUUACCCAGACUUGACAUCCUUGGAAGGACUACGAAAGUAGACUGUGCCCUUGGGAGCCAAGUGACAGGUGUUGCAUGGCUGUCGUCAG
rnacentral:rRNA from 1 species